rnacentral:rRNA from 1 species
UCCCUACGGGACGCAGCAGUGAGGAAUAUUGGUCAAUGGGCGGGAGCCUGAACCAGCCAAGUCGCGUGAGGGACGACGGUCCUAUGGAUUGUAAACCUCUUUUGUCGGGGAACAAAGGCGCCCACGGGUGGGCGGAUGAGUGUACCCGAAGAAAAAGCAUCGGCUAACUCCGUGCCAGCAGCCGCGGUAAUACGGAGGAUGCGAGCGUUAUCCGGAUUUAUUGGGUUUAAAGGGUGCGUAGGCGGGUUAUCAAGUCAGCGGUAAAAUCGUGGAGCUCAACUCCAUCCAGCCGUUGAAACUGAUGA